rnacentral:rRNA from 1 species
CGGGUGAGUAACACGUGGAUAACCUACCUAUAAGACUGGGAUAACUUCGGGAAACCGGAGCUAAUACCGGAUAAUAUAUUGAACCGCAUGGUUCAAUAGUGAAAGACGGUUUUGCUGUCACUUAUAGAUGGAUCCGCGUCGCAUUAGCUAGUUGGUAAGGUAACGGCUUACCAAGGCAGCGAUGCGUAGCCGACCUGAGAGGGUGAUCGGCCACACUGGAACUGAGACACGGUCCAGACUCCUACGGGAGGCAGCAGAU